UACAGAGGGUGCUAGCGUUGUUCGGAAUCAUUGGGCGUAAAGGGCGUGUAGGCGGUUUGUUAAGUCAUGUGUGAAAUCCCUCGGCUCAACCGGGGAACGACGCAUGAAACUGGCAAGCUAGAGUACCAAAGAGGGGGGUGGAAUUCCCGGUGUAGCGGUGAAAUGCGUAGAUAUUGGGAGGAACACCGGUGGCGAAGGCGGCCCCCUGGACCGGUACUGACGCUGAUG
rnacentral:rRNA from 1 species